AUUGAACGCUGGCGGCAUGCCUUACACAUGCAAGUCGAACGGUAACGGGCCUUCGGGUGCCGACGAGUGGCGAACGGGUGAGUAAUACAUCGGAACGUGCCCGAUCGUGGGGGAUAACGAGGCGAAAGCUUUGCUAAUACCGCAUACGAUCUACGGAUGAAAGCAGGGGACCGCAAGGCCUUGCGCGGACGGAGCGGCCGAUGGCAGAUUAGGUAGUUGGUGGGAUAAAAGCUUACCAAGCCGACGAUCUGUAGCUGGUCUGAGAGGAUGAUCAGCCACACUGGGACUGAGACACGGCCCAGACUCCUACGGGAGGCAGCAGUGGGGAAUUUGGGACAAUGGGCGCAAGCCUGAUCCAGCCAUGCCGCGUGCAGGAUGAAGGCCUUCGGGUUGUAAACUGCUUUUGUACGGAACGAAAAGCCUUCUUUUAAUACAGGAGGGUCAUGACGGUACCGUAAGAAUAAGCACCGGCUAACUACGU
rnacentral:rRNA from 1 species